ACAAUGCCUUGUCUUCUCUUCAAGCCCAAUUCAUGAUGUCUUGCAUCUUGAAUUGUAUUUUCAAUCCAUAUUUUCUCAAUUAAUCCAUUUAAAGUAGCUUGCAUAUUUUUGGCUCUUGCUCUUGUUAUUGGGCCUCCAUGAAUGUGCAAAGGAUCACUUGAAGUUUUAAUGGUAUUCCCUUGAUGGUUCUCAUCAUUCCCCCUCUCCUCAAAAGGAUUCGUCCUAGAAUCUUCACCUACAUCAAAAGGAGAAAGAUCAGAAACAUUAAAAGUAGCACUCACAUUAUACCCACUAGGAAGAUCCAAUUUGUAGGCAUUGUCAUUGAUCCGUGCAACCACUUGAAAUGGACCAUCUCCCCUUGGAAGCAACUUGGAACGCCU
rnacentral:lncRNA from 1 species